rnacentral:rRNA from 1 species
GGGGAAUAUUGCACAAUGGGCGAAAGCCUGAUGCAGCGACGCCGCGUGAGGGAUGACGGCCUUCGGGUUGUAAACCUCUUUCAGCAGGGAAGAAGCGCAAGUGACGGUACCUGCAGAAGAAGCGCCGGCUAACUACGUGCCAGCAGCCGCGGUAAUACGUAGGGCGCAAGCGUUGUCCGGAAUUAUUGGGCGUAAAGAGCUCGUAGGCGGCUUGUCACGUCGGGUGUGAAAGACCGGGGCUUAACCCCGGUUCUGCAUUCGAUACGGGCAGGCUAGAGUGUGGUAGGGGAGAUCGGAAUUCCUGGUGUAGCGGUGAAAUGCGCAGAUAUCAGGAAGAACACCCGUGGCUAAGGCGGCUCUCUAGUACGGUACUGACGCUGAGACGCGAAAGCGUGGGGAGCGAAC